GAUUAACGCUGGCGGCGUGCCUAACACAUGCAAGUCGAACGAGGUAGCAAUACCUAGUGGCAGACGGGUGAGUAACGCGUGGUCAACCUACCGUUGAGUGGGGAGUAACUAGCCGAAAGGUUAGUCUAAUACCGCAUACGUCUCCGAGUGGCAUCACUUGGCGAUAAAAGGAAGCAAUCCGCUCGAUGACGGGACCGCGUCCCACUUAGCUAGAUGGUGGGGUAACGGCCUACCANGGCACCGAUGGGUAGCUGGUUUGAGAGAGCGACCAGCCACACUGGGACUGAGAAACGGCCCAGACUCCUACGGGAGGCAGCAGUGAGGAAUUUUCCGCAAUGGGCGCAAGCCUGACGGAGCGACGCCGCGUGU
rnacentral:rRNA from 1 species